CCUACGGGUGGCAGCAGUGGGGAAUAUUGCACAAUGGGGGAAACCCUGAUGCAGCGACGCCGCGUGAGUGAAGAAGUAAUUCGUUAUGUAAAGCUCUAUCAGCAGGGAAGAAGAUGACGGUACCUGACCAAGAAGCCCCGGCUAACUACGUGCCAGCAGCCGCGGUAAUACGUAGGGGGCAAGCGUUAUCCGGAUUUACUGGGUGUAAAGGGGGCGCAGACGGCAAUGCAAGCCAGGAGUGAAAGCCCGGGGCCCAACCCCGAGACUGCUCUUGGAACUGCAUGGCUGGAGUACAGGAGGGGCAGGCGGAAUUCCUAGUGUAGCGGUGAAAUGCGUAGAUAUUAGGAGGAACACCGGUGGCGAAGGCGACUAUCUGGCACAUAACUGACGCUGAGGAGCGAAAGCGUGGGUAGCAAACAGGAUUAGAUACCCGAGUAGUC
rnacentral:rRNA from 1 species